GGCUUCGCAGCUUAGUCGGGCAGACUAACAGUGAUCCUGAAUACGGUGGUUGUGGGUUUGAAUCCCACCGAAGUCA